rnacentral:rRNA from 1 species
ACGAACGCUGGCGGCGUGCUUAACACAUGCAAGUCGAACGGAAAGGCCCUGCUUUUGUGGGGUGCUCGAGUGGCGAACGGGUGAGUAACACGUGAGUAACCUGCCCUUGACUUUGGGAUAACUUCAGGAAACUGGGGCUAAUACCGGAUAGGAGCUCCUGCUGCCUGGUGGGGGUUGGAAAGUUUCGGCGGUUGGGGAUGGACUCGCGGCUUAUCAGCUUGCUGGUGGGGUAGUGGCUUACCAAGGCUUUGACGGGUAGCCGGCCUGAGAGGGCGACCGGCCACAAUGGGACUGAGAGACGGCCCAGACGCCUACGGGAGGCAGCAGGGGGGAAGAUUGCGGAAUGGGGGGGAGCGUGAGGCAGCAACGCCGCGUGCGGGAUGACGGCCUUCGGGGUGUAAACCGCUGUCGCCGGUGACGAGGCGGGAGUGACGGUAAUGGGUAAAGAAGCACCGGCUAACUACGUG